rnacentral:rRNA from 1 species
AUGCAAGGCAACCUAACAACUUCCUCCAGUGGUGGUCUUGGGAGCAUGAUGGGAGGUGUAGUUGGAGUAGAUUCUGGAUGGAAGUUUUUCAAUGAAGGUUCUUCUCCAAUGGAGGAUGGUGUUACAGUCAUGUUCAUUAUGCAUCAACAUGCUCUUGUGGUUAGACUCCACACCAACAGUGACCACGUUGACCAUAUUGAGACCUUCUCUAGACCAGAAGGAGCACGAGAAGGGUCAAUUGCUUAUGCUGCAUGGAAAUACACAUCAUCCUCGAGUGAUUCAUCGCCAAUUGAUGAAGAGCCAGUAUCUUGGCUUGCGCUUGUCUGGGACCGUCGAGUGCAAGUGGCAAAAUUUGUUAAAUCAAAGGUGAUCAAACACAAGGACUGGAAUCUUGAUAGUGCCGCCGUUGGUGUUGCUUGGUUAAAUGAUCAGAUGUUAGCUGUCCUUAACUUGAGAGGGCAGCUCUGCCUGUUCUCAAAAGAUGGCAGUGAGCUUCGCAGGACUAUCUUUAUUCUUGAUGGUUUGGUCUUCGAUGACAGCAUACUGUACCAUACACAUUUUUCUAACAGGUUUGGUAACCCUGAGAGGCAUUUUAACAACUCGGUAGCAGUAAGAGGUGCUACAGUAUAUAUUCUUGGCCCAAGCUUUCUUACAGUUUCGCGACUUCUUCCAUGGAAAGAGUGGAUUGAAGCACUAAAGAGGGCUGGUGAUUGGAUGGGUGCAAUGGACAUGGCAAUGAAGCUUUAUGACGGUCACACACAGGGUGUUGUUGAUCUUCCGAGAACACUUGAUUCCAUAAGGGAAGCCAUAAUGCCGUAUCUAGUAGAGUUGCUGCUGUCAUAUAUAGGUUAUGUCUUUGAAUAUAUUUCAAUUGCAUUGUCAAACCAUACUGGAAAAGGGGGAGCAGCAGAUGGCCUGAUAGAUGCCGAUAGAUCACUGCUGACAGAGAGAGAAGAACAAUAUGCUCGUGUAGGAGGGGUUGCAGUCGAGUUUUGUGUUCACAUUGGACGGAAUGACAUCCUGUUUGAUACAGUCUUCUCUAAGUUUGUUGCUGCACAAAGUGGAGGCAUGUUUCUGGAGGUACUAGAGCCAUAUAUGUUGAAAGAUAUGCUUGGUUCUUUACCACCUGAGAUCAUGCAAGCUCUAGUAGAGCAUUAUAGUGGCAAAGGAUGGUUGCAGCGAGUCGAACAAUGCAUUCUUCAUAUGGAUAUUUCAUCAUUGGAUUUUAAUCAGGUAGCCAGACUCUGUCGUGAGCAUGGGUUAUAUGGUGCUCUAAUAUAUUUAUUUAACCAAGGCUUGAGUGAUUUCCGUACACCUCUAGAGGAACUUCUAUCUGUUAUCCAGAACGCUACUAGAAAAGAUGCUACUUGCUACAGAAUGCUUGUUUAUCUGAAGUAUUGCUUCCAGGGCCUAGCAUUUCCUCCAGGGCAUGGAAUAAUUCCCCGAGCGCAGCUUCAUUCAGUGAGAGAAGAACUUCUGCAAUUCAUGCUUGAAGAGUCUAAAAUGUACACUUCUGAAGUAUUUAAGGGUUUCAGUUCUUCUUCCCGAAAAUGCCCAAACAUGUGCUAUCUACUAUGGAUGGAUACGGAAGCUACUCUGGAAGUUGUCAAGUGUGCUUUUGCACAAGAGAAUUUUGAAUCUACUUCUAGUACUCCUGAUGCAUCUGUGUCCAAGGAUGAAGAUGAUACCAAUAUUGAAAGAGAGAGUCAAAAUAUCUUAUUACAAGGUGUAGUCGACACCAUCAUUCAUAUUGUUGGUUUGGAAAACGAGGCAAUCCAUUCCAUUGUUGUGGGUACUGCUGAGUCAGAGGAAUCAGAACUUUGGCCUACAGUGAAUGAUUUUGGUUAUAUAAUUGAAUUUGUGUCCUUUUUUAUUUCCAAUAAAAGGGCAAAGUCAUCUCAAAGAGUUCUUAAGCACAUUCUUAAAUACCUCACGUCAUCCAGUACUCCAUCAUAUGAUGAUAAAAAGAUGCCAACGCAGAAAGAAGUUCUUCAGCUCUUCAAUGUGGUUCCUCAAACUGACUGGAAUUAUGAUUAUGUGUUGCAUCUUUGUUUAGAUGCCCAUUUUCAUCAGGCAUGUGGCAGGAUAUAUGCAGCCAGAAAUCAAAAUUUGUCUGCUUUGGAUAGUUACAUGAAGGAUAUAGUGCAACCAUACCACGCUUUUAUCUUCAUCAGUAAAAAGUUAUUUCAGUUGGCAGGCGAUGAAGCUUUGUCGUUUCGUUCUACAGUAAUAUCUCGUUUUGCCGAGCUAGUCAAUCUAAGCAGGGAGUGCGCAUUUGUCUUGUUCCUUGAUCAUUUUCAAAAUCAGAGCCAGCAAAUAUUGUCAAAGCUUCCUUCUGACAGCCGCAGCCACUUUCUUUUCUUGAAAACUGCAAUGGAAGUACACUUGUCAGGCAAACUUGACUUCAGUGCACUAACUGGCAAUGAAAUUGUUGAACGCCUGUACUUCUCUGGUGAACUCGAAGAUUAUCUGCAGAGAUUAUCAAAUUUCCCAAAGUUUGACUGCAAUCUUGUUUCUAUGAUUGAUGAGUUAUUUGAGCCUUAUCUGAAGCUUCUGUGUCAGUAUGAACCAAGGUCAGUCCUGAAGUUUCUGGAGACUUUUGAUAGCUACAGAUUGGAAGGGUGUUUGCAGUUAUGUCUAGAUUAUGGAGUUACAGAUGCUGCUGCAUUUCUGCAAGAGAGGGCUGGUGAUGCUGAGAGUGCACUGGCACUUGUUCUAGCUGGACUAGAUGAGAAAAUUAGCCAGUUUAUCACUUCAGUGGAGAAUGCGUUUUCUCAGAUAUCCUCAAAGGGUAGCUCUGAAAUUGAGCAACCAGCCAUUGUUCUAAAAACGAACGAGGCUCAUCCGGUGCUUGAUGCGUUACGUUCCUCCAUUGGAUUGUGUCAAAGGAAUUCACAGUACUCAGACCCAGAGAAGUCCCAAUCACUUUGGUUUCAACUGCUUGACUCUUUCUCAGAACCACUGCAAAAGUUGUAUGGAAGCAAGGAUGUAAAUGGAAAAGGUUGUUGGUCUGAACGGGAGGAAACAACAAACGGACAUCCAACAGGCAAAGUAUUCUCACAACAGAUGGUGAUUUCAGCUUAUCAAAGGUGUUUGAAUACUCUGCGGAGAGUAUUCUCACAAUUCGUUGGAGAGAUAAUUGAGGCAAUGGCUGGGUAUAUACCCCUACUAGCAAUUAUGUCAAAGCUUUUAUCUGACAAUGGGAGUCAAGAAUUUGGUGAUUUUAAACUUGUCAUACAUAGAAUGCUGUCUAUGUAUCUUCAUCAAAAAAGAAUACUGGAAACAGCUAAGUCUGUUAUCGAGGAUGAUUCGUUCUAUACCUUGAGCUCAUUAAAGAGAGGGGUUUGUCAUGGAUUUGCUCCACAUACUUUUGUCUGUUGUGUAUGCAACUUCUCACUUUCCAAAGAAGGUGUUUCAGCAGUUCGAGUGUUCAGUUGUGGACAUGCAACACAUCUUCACUGUGAGUCUGAACAAAGCAAAUCAUCCAGUAAGGAUUUUCAAGACGGAUGUCCAGUUUGUCUCUCGGCGAGUGACACACAAGCCCGGAACAGAUCACCUGUAAUAUCUGAGAAUGGGCUACCCAGGUACCCCAUGGUUGAAAAUGAAGUACCAUAUGGCAUCCAUCGUAAUCACGAGACAGAUCAUGUUGAGAGAUCUCGCAGGCUUCAGCAGAUGUCACGGUUUGAAAUACUGAAAAGUCUCCAGAAAGCUCAGAAGUCUUCGUAUUUAAACUGUACCUCCGUUUGA